CUCCUCCGGUUCCACGCGUAGCACCGGACCCGGAGACGUAGAGGUGGCAGAGGGAAGGGGCAAUCUAACGAAACCAACCUUAACCUAGGAGUACAUCAAAGUACGACUAAACUCGAUUCGUGAUCCCCAAAAAGACGCUCCUACAUAAGCCCUCUAUAAAAACCCACCGACGAUGACCUACGUCAACAACUCUCAUGUUCUUCGAUAUGUUGGAUGACUUCCGCUCCCUAAUACUCUAUCUCGCUUAAUUCUGUUUUAAACCCAACGGAAAGGAGUACUGGCGUCACGUGGUGACACACGUACAGUGAGCCGGAGCUAAGUCAUCGUCCCCGUCUUGUCGUCACACCGCCACCGCUACCCCUUAUUGCAAACUGGAAUCACUGCCCAGUGCCGUCGUGUGACCAAGUUCUAUACUCUUAAUCACAAUGAAGGAAAGAUAAGAAGACGCCGACCACUACCUAGAUAGUAAGAGGGAGAAUUGACACUUAUUUAUACCGUUUCAC
rnacentral:rRNA from 1 species